UUCGCCCUCAGCCCCUGCCUCGGCCAGAGGUUUCAUUUUUAACUGAAUAUUUACGAAAGCUGGAAGCGUGCGAGGGGGGUGGGGUGGGGUGGAAAUAGCGGCUGCUUCUUUUCCAGGGAUUUAUUUAAUGGGGAUGUGUUCAAGGCAAGAGCGAAUUCAGAAGGAUAUCGACGUCGUGAUCCAGAAGUCCAGAGCUGAGAAGGACUGCCUGUUUGCAGAUUAGCAAUAAACUCCUUAAAACUCAAAGGUUUGGGCUUCUGUUCCUUUCACUUGCAGUCAGACAUGGAGUUAGUGGUAGAAGGAACAGAAGGGUUAACCUGCAUGGUGACAGCUACUGAGGGGAUGGAUAGGAAAGCAGGCUGAGUCCCUGGGGCCAGUGGUUACCAAAGCCAAGGAGAGAGCAAGGGGAGCCCAGUGGGCCUGGCCAUGGAAUUCCAAGUGGGAACUUUCAGCCAGGAAUGUAUUGUGAAAAUAUUACUGUGAGGUUUUAAAAGUACACAAAUAAGAAUUGUUUUUUGUAAAAA
rnacentral:lncRNA from 1 species